rnacentral:rRNA from 1 species
CCAAAAACAUCGCCUCUUGCAAAAACAACGAAUAAGAGGUCCCGCCUGCCCUGUGACUUAAAGUUUAACGGCCGCGGUAUUUUGACCGUGCGAAGGUAGCGCAAUCACUUGUCUUUUAAAUGGAGACCUGUAUGAAUGGCACAACGAGGGCUUAACUGUCUCCUUUUUCCAGUCAAUGAAAUUGAUCUCCCCGUGCAGAAGCGGGGAUCCACACAUAAGACGAGAAGACCCUAUGGAGCUUUAGACACUAAGGCAAAUCAUGUUAAACACCCCUAAACAAAGGGCCAAACAAGAUGAAUCUCGCCCUAAUGUCUUUGGUUGGGGCGACCGCGGGGAAAUACAAAACCCCCACGUGGAAUGGGAACACCCCUCCUACAACUCAGAGCUCCCGCUCUAACGAACAGAAUUUCUGACCAAUCAGAUCCGGCAAUGCCGAUCAACGGACCGAGUUACCCUAGGGAUAACAGCGCAAUCCCCUUUUAGAGCCCAUAUCGACAAGGGGGUUUACGACCUCGAUGUUGGAUCAGGACAUCCUAAUGGUGCAGCCGCUAUUAAGGGUUCGUUUGUUCAACGAUUAAAGUCCUACGUGAUCUGA